rnacentral:rRNA from 1 species
AACGAACGCUGGCGGCAUGCCUAACACAUGCAAGUCGAACGAAGUCUUCGGACUUAGUGGCGCACGGGUGCGUAACGCGUGGGAAUCUGCCCUUAGGUACGGAAUAACUCAGGGAAACUUGUGCUAAUACCGUAUGAUGUCUUCGGACCAAAGAUUUAUCGCCUAGGGAUGAGCCCGCGUUGGAUUAGCUAGUUGGUGAGGUAAAGGCUCACCAAGGCGACGAUCCAUAGCUGGUCUGAGAGGAUGAUCAGCCACACUGGGACUGAGACACGGCCCAGACUCCUACGGGAGGCAGCAGUGGGGAAUAUUGGACAAUGGGCGCAAGCCUGAUCCAGCAAUGCCGCGUGAGUGAUGAAGGCCUUAGGGUUGUAAAGCUCUUUUACCCGGGAAGAUAAUGACUGUACCGGGAGAAUAAGCCCCGGCUAACUCCGUGCCAGCCGCCGCCGUAA